GAUAUGCCCGUCUCAUCAGUCAGACACCCAGCUCCAGCAGUGAAGCUAGUCUCAGUAUUGCAGGGCGCGAGUACCUAUACCUACAACAGCGAUGAAGUUCAUUGUGUGUGUCCUCUUGUUCUUGGUCAUCCUGGAAGGAUUCUAUUGUGCACCAUCACUUUGGUAUGUCGACCCAGACGUUUUGAAACAAGGCUAGUAAAUAUGAAGAACAAAAUCUUAAAAUUUGUAUUAAACUUUUUUAUGUUUAGUAAAAUUUCUGUGGCAAAUAUAUGUAUAAUGUUGAUGUGACAAUAAUUCGUGCAACGUGGCUACAAAUGCCGUGAUUCCAUCUUUACAUAUAUAAUUUUUCUGUGAGUGUGUAUGUCACUGAACUUCAAAUCAGGCCGACAGAUGGCGCUGCAGUCGGUAUCUAGGUUAUUUAUCUAUACCUAUUAUUAUAUUAUAUGCAGGACAACGUCUGUCGGGUCCGCUAGUUAUGUACCUCGACAUAGUCGGUCUCUAAAACUAUUAAUUAUCAUUAUAUUAAAUGUUAAUUUAUUGAAAUAAAUCAUCUUGUCUACUUCAA